rnacentral:rRNA from 1 species
GACGAACGCUGGCGGCGUGCUUAACACAUGCAAGUCGAACGGAAAGGCCCUGCUUUUGUGGGGUGCUCGAGUGGCGAACGGGUGAGUAACACGUGAGUAACCUGCCCUUGACUUUGGGAUAACUUCAGGAAACUGGGGCUAAUACCGGAUAGGAGCUCCUGCUGCAGGGUGGGGGUUGGAAAGUUUCGGCGGUUGGGGAUGGACUCGCGGCUUAUCAGCUUGUUGGUGGGGUAGUGGCUUACCAAGGCUUUGACGGGUAGCCGGCCUGAGAAGGUGACCGGCCACAUUGGGACUGCGAUACGGCGCAGAGUCGUACGGGAGACAGCAGUGGGGAAUCUUGCACAAUGGGGGGAAGCCUGAUGCGGCAACGCCGCGUGCGGGAUGACGGCCUUCUGGGUGUAAACCGCUUUCGCCUGUGACGAAGCGUGAGUGACGGUAAUGGGUAAAGAAGCACCGGCUAACUACGUG